GGACAAGAGAGCUUGCUCCAGUGGGCGCCCUGUUCCUCCUCCACAGCUCCAUGUGCGUCCUUCCUAAAGUGGGUUGCUCAUGGAAGAGGAGAACCUUCCCUAAAAAGAAGAGGACCUGUCUUCCUCCAAGGGUGUGUGAGUGGCUGUGCUCCCCUGCUGUGAAAACCUCCAAACAAGCUCUCAGGAGUUCAAGGCCAGCCUCAACUCUACAGUCAAUUCUAGGUCAGUCUCGGCUAUGAGACCUUGUCUCU
rnacentral:snRNA from 1 species